GCUUUUCUAUCUCUCUUUUCCCACACCAUGCCAUCCUUUUAACUUUUUAAACUUAUCAAGUAACCCUUUAAAUAAUACUAUUCGCAUUUUCCCUGUAUUCUCAAUAACAAAGCAAUUCUGGACGCUAAGCCAGCAAGUGAGAGCAUUUCCCACUUUUCUUCCACUUCUCCAGAUCUUGUACCUCUAUAUAAGAAGCCAGAACCCUGCCCAGCAAAAGCAGAACUCUCCUCAAAGAUGAAGUAGGAAAGAGAGUGAGCAGAGACGAGGUCUCACUAUGUUGCCCUGGCUAGUCUCCAAUUCUUGCUGUCUCGCGAGCCUCCCAUCUUGGCCUCCCAAAGUCCUGGGAUUACAGGGAUGAGCUACCAUGUCCAGCCCCAGAUCCAACUCUAAGAAAACACAGUCCAUCAGUCACUGAAGAGCACGUCAGUGUAUCCGUCUCUCCCUGUGUGAAUCCUGUUACUUGGACUUGUGUAGAGGUUGCAGUUUCAUCUUUCGUGUAGUAAUGACUGGCAUCAAUUUAUAUCGAUACAAUGAAAAAUUCUAAAGAACACUUUGUGGUAGAGAAAUAAAGGAGAUCUCGUCUUUGAAGAUGCAGAAUAUGGCAAGUAACUUUCCAGUAAAUCAUUCUAUUUUAGUGGAGGAGUUUUGAAGGAAGAUAAGCCCUGAGUUUCCUGAUUAUGUAUAAUUCAAAAAUAGAUAUUCAAAAGUCUCAGAGAUAACAUUCUUCUGUAUAGAUAGAAGAGUUUGCUUUGUCUAUAGAUCCCAUUGUACAGCUUGAAGAAGAGAAGAAUUAUUUUCUCAAAAUCUCAAAAAUCAUAUUUCUGCAAUUUUCUCAAUCUCAGAAUCACAUCUAAUUUCUGAUCAAAUUGGCAACACUCUCUAGUUCUAAGUGUUCAGUUCAUCUGGAAAGAACUUGGUGCAAUUUGUGUAAUUACUUUACAGCUAUCUGCAAAACAAACUGUGGGAGUCACGUCUCUGUCGAUGAAUGUAUAGAUUCAGGUCACUAGAACAUAAUCCUGAAACUGACAUUCUCUGUAAGAUUUUUCUCCUCUUUCGGUUCUCCUUUUUUUUUUUUUUUUUUUUUUUUUUUUGAGAAA
rnacentral:lncRNA from 1 species